rnacentral:lncRNA from 1 species
UGACCUCUCCCAGGUGGGCACAGAACUCCCAGGCUCAGGACUCACCGUGGACUCCAGGGCUCCGCAGGCAUUCAGGGGAAAGGGGUGGGGAUGCAGGAAGGAGGCUCAGCCCAGAGGGCGGGGCCAAGAUCCUGAUUGGAGGAAAUCAAGGUGAGCGCGCUGCUACAAACUGGGCCCCUAUUUCUAGUUGGUGGCCAAACAUUUUGCCUGGGGCUGGGCCUGGGGCUGGGCCCGGGGCUGGGCCCGGGGCUGGGCCUGGGGCUUUGCCCGGGGCUGGGUCUAGGGCUGGGUCCAGGGCUGGGCCGCGGACUGGGCCUCGGACUGGGCCUCGGACUGGGCCUCGGACUGGGCCUCGGACUUGGCCUCGGAUUGGGCCGAGGAUUGGGCAGAGGCACGGGCCUACUGAUGGGCCUCCUGCUCGUGCCAGGUCGCCGCCGAGGUCUGCUUUGGCGGUUUCCACAUUCACGCAUCAGCCCGUUCACUGCGUCCGGGAGAAAACAGCUGGCGAGGCUCGGUUCCCCCCCACUCUCCGCCGGGAAGAGCAUGGCUUCGGGCGGCCCUGCGCAGAGAACGCAGAUGUGGACCCUCGGAAAGGAGCAUUCCCAGGAAAAGGAGCCCAAGGGUAGCCUGGUACUGACUGGAUUCCAUGAAACCCCCAACGUGGAUGCCUCCUCUGCAGCCUCUCCAGCCCUGGUGACAGCAGAGCACUGCGGAGACUGUGGGCCAGGGCAGGACUCCCACGGAGACAGUCAUCACCCUUGUGCAUGGUGACCCCUCUGCUGUGGCAGAAGCCCCUCUCUGCACGUGACCCUGGUGAUGAAGCCUUCCAGAGCAAACAUAAGGAUAGUCAGUAGUUUCCUCCUGAAAAGCAGGGUGAUGGUCUUUCUACAGCCUUAACCUGACUUGAUUGAAUUUUGCUGGGAGAUGGACUUUGUACAGUUCCUGAGGGCUGCUGUCAUCUGAGACCCAUUUCAGGGACACCUGGGCACUGGCUACUUUUCUGGGAGUGAAGAGGUGGCCUCAUCCACUGGCUUAAAUUUUCUCUUAGGAAAAAAUUGCAGCUCAAUGCCAGCUUUCGUUUAAUUUUCAGCAAGCAAGAAUUAAUUACAUUUUGUCAAUGGGAAGAAGACAACUAAAAACACAAGGUUAUGUGUGCAUUGAGGCCUCUUGUUUCCAAAAACUACAAAUAUCCCUGAGCAAUGGGAAAAUAAUGAUAAAGUGAGAUAUUC